CAGCUUGCAGCUGAAGAAGGAGCAUUGAGAGGAGUGAAAGCUAGCCGAAGUGGAUUGCAGAUUUCUCAUCUACUUUUUACAGAUGAUUGUAUCUUAUUCAGCGAGGCGACUAGUAGAGGGGCUACCAUACUGAAAUGAAUUCUAAAGGAAUAUAGAAUUUGCUCGGGCUAGUGCGUUAAUUUUGAAAAAUCUACGAUUUUUUUAGCAAAAACACGACAGAAGAAGCCAAA
rnacentral:lncRNA from 1 species